GCGCGCGGAGCACCCACCUCCCCUCGCUCCGGGGCGCGCACGGGGGGAGCUGCCGGGAGGACCACGUGGACUGGACGCCCGGUGGCAGAGCAGCCACUUCGGACUCGAGUAACUCGCUUGGUUUUGGCCAUUUCCCAACGGCGCCCCUAAAGUCGGUGCACGGGGAGGGGACACCUCCAGACCAGGACAAGGCGUGACCGCUAAAGGACCCCGCAAAAUUAUCACUAGAAUCCCCUUUCCGUGUGAAGACAUUAGCACCACCUCCGUCCGCACCAGCUCAAGGGCUUAAGCUGAGGACGGUUAGUGCUGAGUUCACGCUGGUAGUUCGUUUCUGGGAAGACCCCGCCUUUCUCCGCAGAUGAGGCCGAGGCCCAGGAGCCUUGGGACAGCAGGCAGAAAAGCUGGGGGGCGGGGGAAGGGCGCCCAGCAGACUGGAAGGCUGUGGAGCCCCCCGCAGCCAGGCUGUGUUUCCUCCUACCAAAGGCCUAGCUGGUUUCUGCUCCAGGAGAAGGAAACGUCACCGCGCCACCCCUGGCUCUUUUUGGAAACGGACCGGAGGAAAGGGCAUCCCAUGUCCCGUGACAACACUGUCUGCACAGCACAAACGGGGACACACCAGUCAUCCGGGUCAAGACGAUUAGGCAGCUGUCGAGCGGAAACGCGUGACACUGAGACUCAGGAGACGCACGGAGCCCUUCCUCUGCUUUCCCCGGUCGGGAGCGAAAAGAGGAAUGAAUGUCAGAGCCAGGGCAAUUUCGCAAGUUAUCAAUAAACAUUUGAAAAGGCACUCAACUCACUUUAGAGAAGAGAAUGAAAAGUGACACGACAAAGAUGUCGUCUUUCGCCCACCAGACUGGCUGAAAUUAUGAAGACUGAUAAUGUUCCCAAGUCGGCAAUGAAGUCUUUCAGAGGCACACCUCUUUCCUGCACAAAUGCUACAGUGGUACGUAGUUGGGGGGGCGUCAGGGGCACCUAGUGCUGAGGGUACCAGACUGCAAGGCUUCCCCAGCCCAGAUCUGAGCGGUUUCCGUAGCCACACAGGCAGCAAGCCGGUCAAGGAGCGUGCGGAGCGCGCACCCUGUAGGGCGCGCUUCCGGGGUGGCAGCAGCUGGGCUGUUCGCUGCUCUGCAGUGCUAGCUAGCUCUUUGCUAAGAAGGCGCUGGUCCCUAGACUCGUGGCGCCUACCGGAGUCGUGAAAAAGGGCAAACAUCGAAAACAGUGCUCAACCUUUGUUUUUCAGCGAGCCGUUACACGGGCAGCGCACAGCCCAGGCAGCAAGGGCGGCCCCGGAGACGACACCCAGCAUCUCAGCCUCAGAUGCCAGCGCUCUGAACUGUGUCUGUGAGCAUCUGUGCUUCAUCUCCAUUUAUUUUGUGCUCCCCUUAGCAAGACGUGUCCUAAGCACGCGGGAUCUUAGUUCCCCGACUAGGGCCCGAACCCGUGCCCCCUGCAAUGGAAGCGGGGAAUCUUAACCACCGGACUGCCAGGGAAGUCCCCUGAGAUUCUAAUUUAUCUUUGGAAAUUCAACUUGGGUAGCCUGAGACUCAAUAAUAGAGGGCUGAUGUUCUACAGGACCUAGAGCAAGUGAUAAGCCACUUCACACCUUUCUGUAAGUAAGAAAAAGGCGCUUUUUCCUCAAGACACUAUAUUCCCACCCCCAGAAAACUGGCAUACCAUACUGAUGUUUUAGAACAAGAUACUUUACUGCCAUCUUCUGGAACAUUAUUUUUAUUAUUAUUAUAAGCAGCAAAUCUAUGAGACCUAUUAUGCGAAUAACCCCUCCUUAGAUGUAGCCCCCUUCUGCAGUGCACAACCUGUACAACCAUAUGUGACAGAGGCUGUGGUGAGUAUAAUAUCAUCUAGGGAAUCUGUGUGCUUGAAUGUAACUGUGUCCAGAUAGAUCGUAGCUCCUUGUCAGAAACUCAGCAUUUCAUAACCAUUAUAAUCACUAUGGCUUCUGUCCAGAUGAUUUCUCUCUCUCUUUUUUUUUUGGCCGCACACACAGCCCCUUGUGGGAUCUUAGUUCCCCAACCAGGGAUUGAACCCGGGCCCUCGGCAGUGCAAGCAUAAAGCCCUAACCACUAGACCACCAGGGAAUUCCCUCCAGAUGAUUUCUGAAUUCACUCAGAGAAGAUGUCACUCAAGGAUUUCCUCUCUGCCCGGGCUCAGGAUUCUGGGGGUGGCAGGAGGCUCAGGGUGAGAAACCAAGACAGAAGGUAAGGGGCUCAGUCAACCAGCAGGGGGUCUCAGUUAAGCAAGCAGGACAGGUAGGACCCUCACGCUCGGGGACCUUGACUUUCUUUUCUAGGGUUGUAGAGAAAGUACUUAGAUCUCCCUUUCAAAGUCAUUGCUGGAUAGAGACACAUUUGCAAUGAAAAGGAGAGAUUUUUCUUGCCUUCUGACGCGGUUCCAACAAUGUUAUAUACACGCCACCUCAAAAAGACAAAACCUAACAUCUUCCCAGACCACCCCCACGUGCCCCUGGAAUUAAACAAACCCACUCAAACAUGAACUGAAUGAAUGUGGCGACGAACAGUGUUUCAGUGAAGUGAUAUCUAGUUCUUCAUGUGGAGAAUUUUGAAGAGCACAUGUAAAUACAACAGUAAUUCAUUUCUAGGAAAUUCCCUGGCGGUCCAGUGGUUAGAACUCGGCACUUCCACCGCAGGGG